AACGCGUAUACAAUCUGCCUCAUACUAGGGGAUAGCCCAGAGAAAUUUGGAUUAAUACCCUAUAGUAUCUUUUAGAGUCAUCUCUUUAAGAUUAAAGGUUACAGUACGAGAUGAGUAUGCGUUCUAUUAGUUAGUAGGUGAGGUAACGGCUCACCUAGACCACGAUAGAUAGGGGCCCUGAGAGGGGGAUCCCCCACACUGGUACUGAGACACGGACCAGACUCCUACGGGAGGCAGCAGUGAGGAAUAUUAGACAAUGGGCGAAAGCCUGAUCUAGCCAUGCCGCGUGCAGGAUGACGGCCCUGUGAGUUGUAAACUGCUUUUAUACAGGAAGAAAAAACUCUACGUGUAGAGUCUUGACGGUACUGUAAGAAUAAGGAUCGGCUAACUCCGUGCCAGCAGCCGCGGUAAUACGGAGGAUCCAAGCGUUAUCCGGAAUUAUUGGGUUUAAAGGGUCCGUAGGUGGACAAUUAAGUCAGAGGUGAAAUCCUGCAGCUCAACUGUAGAAUUGCCUUUGAAACUGGUUGUCUUGAGUCAUUAUGAAGUGGUUAGAAUGUGUAGUGUAGCGGUGAAAUGCAUAGAUAUUACACAGAAUACCAAUU
rnacentral:rRNA from 1 species